rnacentral:rRNA from 1 species
UACGAAGGGGGCGAGCGUUGUUCGGAUUUACUGGGCGUAAAGGGCGCGUAGGCGGCGUGACAAGUCACUUGUGAAAUCUCCGGGCUUAACUCGGAACGGUCAAGUGAUACUGUCGUGCUAGAGUACAGAAGGGGCAACUGGAAUUCUCGGUGUAGCGGUGAAAUUCGUAGAUAUCGGGAGGAACACCAGUGGCGAAGGCGGCGACCUGGACAGAUAUUGACGCGUGAGGUGCGAAAGCGUGGGGAGCAAACAGG